rnacentral:tRNA from 1 species
UUCCGCUUGGGGUCCGGCUCGCUGGGUCCGGCCGGCUGGGGUCCGGCUCGCUGGGGUCCGGCUGCCCCGGGGCGGGGG